AUGAGGUCAGGAGAUCGAGACCAUCCUGGCUAACAUGGUGAAACCCCGUCUCUACUAAAAGUACAAAAAAUUAGCCGGCCGUGGUGUUUAGAAACGAACAAACAAAUGAGAGACAAUAUAGAAAGCAAAGAUCAACAACCUGGCAACAGUCUCUAUCAACGUGUUGGUGAGUCGGAUAUGGUGACUGUAUAAAUCUCCCUCUGGCAUUUUAGACUCCGGAUUUUUUGUAAUCGCCUUUGGAUUUACUCAGUCAUUUGAGUUUGAGGUCUUCUGAGGUCUACAUUUGAAUCCUAUUCCGGUGUCAUGUAACUUUAACUCCUGAAUGCAUUUUCAAGGGGCUAGAGAUUGCACAUACAAGAAUAGGGUAGGGAAAAAUAGGAAAAGAACUCUGUAUCCCUAGAAAUAAUCAGGUUGGUUGAACGGUUACAAUUUACACUAGAUUGUCUUCAAGAUAGAGUACCUAUAAGGGAAACUCUGAGUUGACUAUACUUAGCUCUGUGUUGGUAUAAUCAUUCAUAGUGGUGAUGUAGAUUUCAGCAUGGGGGAUAAAUCCCAAUUGAGGGAGGGUAAGUAAUAAUAUUACUUUCUCUUCUUCUAUUUCAGACUAACAAAUAUAGAAUUAAAUGAUAAGACAGAAAACAGUUUGAUGACUGGAACACUUAGUGACAUCAUUUAAUAGCCUGUGGCAUCGAAGCUAUUACAGUAAUAAUUUCUCUCCAGUGAGGAAGACUACAUAAUGGCACUUGCCUGGAAGUCUUAAUUUUCCAACCCAAAACUUCAGGAUAUUUUUCAAGCCCCCUACCAUGACUCCGUAUGCCACAGCAGACAAGAUUUUGCAAUCAUUCCUGAAGAAAAUAGAUAAUAAGUACAAAUACAUUUUCCAGUACUAAACUGAAGAGCAUGCUGUCUUAAAAUUUUAUAUUGUCUGUAUGUGUACAGUGGAAAGUUAACAUUGAUGGCAGCCAGGUUAUAAAAAGUUAGUUCAUAAAAACCCUCUGCUUAAAAUAUAAACUG
rnacentral:lncRNA from 1 species